rnacentral:rRNA from 1 species
AGAGCACUCCUACGGGAGGCAGCAGUGGGGAAUAUUGCACAAUUGGGCGCAAGCCUGAUGCAGCCAUGGCCGCGUGUAUGAAGAAGGCCUUCGGGUUGUAAAGUACUUUCAGCAGUGAGGAAGGUGGGUAUGUUAAUAGCAUACUCAUUUGACGUUUAGCUGCAGAAGAAGCACCGGCUAACUCCGUGCCAGCAGCCGCGGUAAUACGGAGGGUGCGAGCGUUAAUCGGAAUUACUGGGCGUAAAGCGCAUGCAGGUGGUUUGUUAAGUCAGAUGUGAAAGCCCGGGGCUCAACCUCGGAAUUGCAUUUGAAACUGGCAAACUAGAGUACUGUAGAGGGGGUAGAAUUUCAGGUGUAGCGGUGAAAAUGCGUAGAGAUCUGAAGGAAUACCGGUGGCGAAGGCGGCCCCCUGGACAGAUACUGACACUCAGAUGCGAAAGCGUGGGGAGCAAACAGGAUUAGAUACCCUGGUAG